CAGCCGCCGCGGUAAUACGUAGGGUCCGAGCGUUGUCCGGAAUUACUGGGCGUAAAGAGCUCGUAGGUGGUUUGUCGCGUUGUUCGUGAAAACUCACAACUCAAUUGUGGGCGUGCGGGCGAUACGGGCAGACUGGAGUACUGCAGGGGAGACUGGAAUUCCUGGUGUAGCGGUGGAAUGCGCAGAUAUCAGGAGGAACACCGGUGGCGAAGGCGGGUCUCUGGGCAGUAACUGACGCUGAGGAGCGAAAGCGUGGGGAGCGAACAGGAUUAGAUACCCCGGUAGUCCCUGUCUCUUAUAA
rnacentral:rRNA from 1 species